rnacentral:rRNA from 1 species
AACGUAGGACGCAAGCGUUAUCCGGAGUUACUGGGCGUAAAGGGCGUGUAGGCGGCGCUGCAAGUUCGUCGUGAAAGACCCCGGCUCAACCGGGGGAGGUCGAGGGAGACUGCGGCGCUGGAGGACGGUAGAGGGACAGGGAAUUCCGGGUGUAGUGGUGAAAUGCGUAGAGAUCCGGAGGAACACCAGUGGCGAAGGCGGUUGCCUGGAGCUUUGCUGACGCUGAGGCGCGAAAGCGUGGGGAGCGAUCCGG